UACUUGAAUCUGAAGGCUUUAAUGUUUUGUAUUUGUAAACGAUAAUCGUUGGUGCCAAUCAUUAUAAAACAACUCAUAUUUUCGAAAAUAAUACGUAUUAUACGCAGGUGCAGUUUUUCCUUUCAACAGUAUUAUAUACAUAACAAUUUGGUGCCACUUAAACACAAUAAUGGACUAGGAAGCCCCACUGACUCUUUAGGGUGGUCCACAUUUGUAAGGAAAUACUUUAAGCACCUCUUUCAUCCGCUUUUAUACAGAGAAAGUGGUGUAGGUGCAACAAAAAAUAGCUUUUUAAUUAAAAAGGUAAGAAUUUGAUUGUUAUAUAAAAAUAUAGUUCGCAAGCUCACUACUCCAAAUGGCAACACGGAGUUCAUGAAGGGACUUGAACCAUGUUCCGACAUAUACAUUAAAAAUUUAUAUUUGUUAUACAUAGGGUGCCGCUCUGCUGGAGUUAUCCAUUCCAGUAUCCACACUAAAUCCGUAUACUUACUGCUAUGUAUCAUAAUCUGGAAAUCCUGUACGACAGAGAAACCUUAGGCACCGGACGAGUCACGGAAGCACCGGAUGAAAACGCCAACAAACUCAGGGAGAUUUAUGACAUCGCACGGCGAAAUCUGGAAAAGGCAUUUCAGUACCAAUCCAGACUAUAAUCUGAGGAAGCAAUGGACGUCAGCUGUGGGCGACGAAGUGUGGGCCAAGGAACACCAUCAUAUCAAAAGGUGCCCAGGAAUUCGCCGCAAAACUGGCCCUGAGGUAUAAUGGUCCUUACCAGGUCGUACAUUUUGCAAAACAACUGAUGCAAAACACAAGCGAGCAGCUUGCAGACACAACGUUCGCCUGCUAGGCGUGAAGCAAAGUUAACUGCUAGGCAGCUUCCUGGCGUUGGCCUUGACUGUCAGCGCGAACGGAGCGAAGCCCUAGUGAGACCAUCCGGGACAGACACGCGGUCGUUGUGUCGAAAGGCGUUGCCAUGGACAGCGAGGCACUUAUUCACCCUAGUCUGAGAACGGUGAAGGGAAGCCCCUAAGCCCGCACGGCCGAUCUCUCUGCGAGUUAAAGGCGAGACAAGCGGCCUCGGGUCAACGUGUCGGCGAGCAAGCAGAGGCGAGGGACACCAGGAGCAUCCCAAUACUUUUGGAAUAUAGAUUGGUAUUUAAUAAAAUCAAACCAAAAAACAACUUCAAAAAUGUGGACACUAGAAAAGCGUUUUAGCAUUAUUUGCGAUUGUUGGCGCUAAAGUGUGCAUACCACUCCGAUGAAACAAACUUCCGAAUUUGCAUGCCUAGACCCAACAUUCUAGCUCUUAAAGUUUCCGAGAUCUCAGUGUUCAUACGAACAGACAGAUAGACAAACAUACGGACAUGGCUGACCAACUCGGCAAGUGAUGAUUUUCGAUGCUUGUAUUAGUUCAUGAAAGGCGGAACAAUUUCAAUGAUAUUUAUGUCGGAACUUUGUGGAACUGAUCCAUGUCCGUUAACAACUUGGUAGGCAUCCAACCCUUAUGACACGGAACACAGUUGUUGAUAUGUAUCAUAAUCACGAAAUCUUGGCCGAUAUUCUCUGUUAUUAUGUACACUCUAACAUACCAAAAAUAUCACAGCUAUACAGAGCCGAAUAAAGUCAGUUGGACGUCAGUCGUCUCCUUUUAAUCGGAACACAACAUUUUCUAGCGACGAAGAAAAAAGUCCCGCAAAAUUUCAUUUUGUGUAAUUCGUGUCGGUAGACUAAAACAACAGUGAUCGAAAGCAAAAAGACAUAUAAUGGCUGACAGCCAAGUUAAUUUUGAAACAUUAUGGGCUCAACAGCAAGAAUUUGCGCAGAAGUUGAUGCAACAACAACAAAAAUGGAUGGAAUCCAUUCUUUCACUAAACAGUGGUGUGAACUUAGCCAGAUCGGGAGAAUUAUCCGUGUGCCCACCGUUUCCAAACUUUAACAAAGAAAAUCAAAAUUGGGAAAUGUACCUCCAACAAUUAACACAGCACUUCUCCGCUUACUCGGUGCAAGCAGCAGAUAGGAAAAAAGCGUAUUUUCUAAUGUGGGCAGGCACUCACAUAUUUGAGCUUGUAAAAAAUCUGUUUGGUAGCGAAAACUUGGACCAGCAGACAUAUGAACAAGUAACGGAAAAACUUACAGAACAUUUCAAGCAGAAGCGUCAUAUUGUUGCUGCACGGUACGAAUUCUUCAAACGUCAGAUGCGGGACUCACAAACACAUAAGAAAUGGGUCACCGAUCUACGUGGCAUUGCUAGAGAGUGUCAAUUUUUUUGCCAAUCCGAUGGGUGUUCAUUUAAUUACGUUAAUGAAAUGACCCGCGAUCAAAUAAUUGUGCACACUUCAUUCGACGCAAUUCGCACAGCCGCUUUUCAGAAGUUGCAGCCGUCUCUCGAAGACAUUCUCUCAAUUGCCGAAACUUACGAGACAACAACAAAGACAGUGGCAAUAAUCAAAGAGAGUGAAAAGAGAGCUCUUGUAACAAACGCAGUAUACACACAAAAAUCAAAUCAUCAAAAACGCAAUUUUUCUGAUGGUAAAGGCGGCAAGACUGCUUUAAAAUCGUGCUCUGGCUGCGGUCACUCUCAUUCUCGCGAAAAUUGCAAGUUUCGGGAGGCAAUUUGCCACAAAUGUGCCAGAAAGGGGCACAUAGCUGUCGUUUGAUUAUCCAAGCAGUGCAAAGACAAAAAAGACACCGAUCAACAAAAAACCCGAAACAAAAACGCAGAGUCAAUUCAAACAAUUUACAACGUUUCCAGCUUGGUCAAGUUUGAAGGAAACAAAACUGAGAUUGAAGUGGAGCUCCUCAAUAUAAUCGUAUCCUUCCAAAUGGAUUCUGUCAGUAUUGAAUUUCAAUACAUACAAAAAGCUAAACAGCCCGAGACUGCAGAAGUGCGAUCGAAUCUUGCACGCAUUUGGCCGACAACAAAUUCCUGUACUGGGUGAGCUACACACUGUAGCAAAGUGUGGCAACAAAUUGGCGAAUGUGGUGAUAAUUGUGGCUAAUGUGGAUAAGUCCAAUAAUCUGUUCGGCUUGGAUUUGUUUAAAACAUUCAAUUUUGAAAUUCAGAAAAUCGCAAACGUCACUGACUCAAGGGGACUCAAAUGACAGAUCUUUGCCAGAGGUAUAAGGAGAAAUUUGAGCCGGCUAUUGGUACGAUAAAAAACUUUAAGGCUAGCAUUUACCUUAAACCGAAUUCCGUACCAAAGUUCUACAAAAGCAGGCAAAUUACGUUUGCCCAAUUGGAUAAAUUCAAGGAGGAAGCGCAGCGUCUCAUAGAAGCAGGUAUUUGGAAACGCAUAAAAUGUAGCAACUGGGCAUCGCCAAUAGUACUAGCACCAAAGCCCGGUGAAGCACUGUGAAUCUGCGGCGAUUUCAUGCAAGGCGUCAAUUCCCAAUUGGACAUCAAGCAAUAUCCAUUGCCGACACGUGAGUCUUUGUUACACAAAAUUCGCCACGGCACGCAUUUCUCCAAAAUUGACCUUAAGGAAGCAUACUUACAAAUGGAGUUAGACGAUGCAGCGAAAGAAAUUCUGGUUGUCAACACGCCGUUGGGUCUCUUUCAGUACCAACGUUUGCCGUAUGGAAUAGCUAGCGCACCAGCUAUAAUUCAGCGUCACCUUGAGCAACUUCUAAGUGAAAUAGAAGGUUGUGAAAAAUUUCUCAAUGACAAUUAUUUCGGCCCCAACAGUGGACCAACACCUAGCCAGACUUGAACAAAUUUUAUGCAUUUUACAGGCGAAUGGCAUAAAAUGUAAGAAAGAGAAAUGUUUCCUUCUAAGGGAUGAAAUUGAGUACCUUGGGAGAAGGGUCAGUGUUAAGAGCAUCCUUCCGGAUUCGUCAGGACUAGAAGCCGUUAAGGAAAUAAAGCCGCCCUCUAAUCUACAACAGCUAGAUGCGUUUAUGGGAAAAGUGAACUAUUACUGCAAUUUAAUUCCAAAUUACUCCCAGUUAGCUUCACCCCUAAAUCAAUUGCGUAGGAAGAACAUACCCUUCAAGUUUGGACCAGAGCAACCGCAAGCUUUCUCAGCUUUGAAGAAGCAUAUCCUCGACGCUACUGAGCUAGCAGAUUUCAACGAGAAUCUUCCGCUUGUUUUAGCCACAGAUGCAUCCUUUUUCGGCAUUGGUGUUGUAUUGUCACACAUGCAUCCAGAUGGCUAGGAAAAGCCAAUAGCCUUCGCAUCGAAAACCCUUGACGUUCACCGAGUCCGAUACAGCCAAAUUAGGAAAGAAUCAAUCAUAUUUGGGGUAAAGAAGUUUCAUCAGAAUUUAUAUGGCAGGAAAUUUAUUCUCAUAACAUCACAAGCCGUUGGUCACAAUCUUUAAUCCUAGCAAGCAUUCGCCAACAAUGACUUCAAACAGACUCCAGCGUUGGGCUAUAAUAUUGAUAGCUUACAAUUUUGAUAUUAAAUAUCGCUCAACCACAGCUCAUGGAAACGCAGACGCACUCUCAUGUCUUCCUAUAAGGUCAGAUCACCUUUUCGAUAAGGAAGAGGAAUGCUAUAACAUAGUCGAUAUAUCCUGUCCAAUAAAUGCCGAUAUCAUCAACGAAAGUCUAAAAACCGAUACAAUUUUGCAGAGAGUAUACAACUUCGUAUCAACUGGUUGGCCAGAACAACAGGAUGAUCCCGAAAUACAACCUUACUUCAGCCGCAGAUUUGUCUUGACGAUCAACAACAAGCUGCUAUGACUCCAUUCUGAUGUACUUCUUAGUUCGCAUGAAACAACCAGCUCGUCACCAUGUUUGGUGGACAGGUAUCGACGACGACAUAGCACAACUAACUAAGAGUUGCACCGUUUGCAUGGUAGGCAACCCAGCCCCGGUAAAAGAGUUUCAAAGCUGGCCAAAAGCUACAAGUGCCUGGGAAUGGAUACACAUAGAUUUUGCGGGUCCUAUAUUUAACUCAAUGUGGCUAAUAUGCGUCGAUGCUUAUUCUCAGUUCCCGUUCAUAACCCAAAUGUCGUCAACUACAACUGCAAAUACAAUAUCAGCGCUCACAGCUAUAUUUGCAAUUGAGGGUUACCCCAAAACAAUUGUCAGUGAUAAUGGACCCCAACUCACUGCAGAAACCUUUAAGGAAUUUUGCCUUCAACAUGGAAUUAACCACCUAACUACAGCUCCUUUUCACCCAGCAUCAAAUGGACUUGCUGAGCGCUUCGUCCAAAAUUUUAAUACUUCUGUCGUCAAAAACAUAAAAGUAAGUAAAAACAGCCGUUACGAAAUACCUUAGUUCGUAUCGUUUCACCCCGAACUCGGAAGGAAAAAGUCCUGCACAACUUCUACAUGUUCGCCCUGGGCGUACGAUCUUAAGUCAACUUUUUGAAAAACAAACUGAAAGCCAGCAUAUCGAACCAAAAAAGUAUUCGCCGAUCCAAAAAGUAUUUGCCAAAAAUUACGUCAGGGAAGAAAAGUGGAUAAAAGCUGUCAUCGAUCGGUCCAUAGGCCUUAUGGUAUUUAUUCUUCGAACAUCCACAGGCCUUAUUAAGCGCCACAUAAAUCAGAUUAAGUCGAGAUCUGAUCACGAUGACCUCAGUAGCAGCUCCAAAGAUGACAACACUCCGUUUUGGUGGAUGCCCGACACUUCCAAUCCACCAACAACUCCGUUAAGCCCAAGACAUGAAGAACAGCAGCCAUCUAGCCCAUCACAGCCUCUCCAAUCCACCCAAGCUUCCAAUGAAGUACCAGCACCAAUCCAGCUAGAUGAACCUCAACCGUCACAACCACGUCGAUCUGGUAUCCCCAUUCGUAGCAGUACUCGUUUGCGCCAAGAUGUCAACCGUUUCAAACCCCCAGAUUUCAGAAAGCGUAAAACUACUAACAAAAUGUAAAUUUAGGGGAAAGAUGUGAAAUGUAUUAUAAUCUGGAAAUCUUGGCCAUUUGCUGUUUACUUUAUCGAUAUUCUCUGUUAUUGUGUACACUCUAACAUACCAAAAAUACCGUAGCUAUACAGAGCCGAGUAAAGUCAGUUGGACAUUAAAUCUCUCUUUAAUCAGAACACAACACUUACAUUUACUUGUCACAACCCUCCCCUUCACCCUGCAAAUAACUUUUUUAUUCCAUGUCGGCUAGUUGUUGCUAGCUUCAUCGUUCCUCUAUCGAUCGUCAAGUUUCGUUUGCUGUAUACCAAAAUAGAAGAAAAUUUAAUCGAAAACAAAGAAGCUGUUAUUUUUAUACCCGUUACUUAUAAAGUGGAAGGGUAUAUUAGAUUCGUCGGAAAGUAUGUAACAGGUAGAAAAAAGAAUUUCCUAUAAAGGAUAUAUAUUAUAUAUUUAGCCGAGUCGAUCUAGCCAUGUCCUUCUGUCCGUCCGUAUUAACGCUAUGAUCUCUCAGACUACAAAAGCUGAUAAAUAAACUUUCAGCAAGGUGCCACAAUCCCAUCUUCAUGCCAAACUUAACCAAUUAUAAAAAAUUUAUAACGUUCGGAAACAGUCGAUUUGCUGCAUGCACGUAUCAAUCUCCCUCGCGCUCCUUUUAGCUGAGUAACGGGUAUCUAUAGCCUAGCGACUAUAGAGUUCUUCCUUGUUAUACCCAUGCAGAGGGUAUAAUGAUUUCAGUCUGAGGUACGCAAUGCAGUGAAGGAGAUUUCUCCAACCCAUAAAAAUAGAUAUAUUCUUGAUCAGCAUAAUUAGACGAGACGAUCUAGCCAUGCCCGUGUGUCCAUUUCUACGCAAAAUCAACCUCGGUUUUAAAGCUAUCGCGAUAAAAUGUUUGUCUUUCUAUUGCAGAAAGUAUAUAUAACAUACCAUUCGUAAACAAUAAGAAAAACAAAAAAGGAAGCUAGCUUCGGCAAGCCAAAGUUGCUAUACCCUUGCAGGUCGUUUGUUGUAAAUUACUGCCGUAUAUGUUUUCCGAAACCGAAAUAUAAGGUCUUCAGUUCUGCCUUUGAUUAGUUCCGGGCCCCUGUGUGCCAUAUUUCUGCAGUUGUUAAUUAACGAUUUUAAGAAAACCCUGCUGAUCUGGAGGUGUUAGCCCCAGCUGACAUUUUAAAUGGUGGUCCCCCUUCUUUAGAAGUUAGAAAAACUAUAUAAUUUUUCCAACCCAGCUACAAGCUUGAUCUCAUUGUGUUGUACCGGAGUCACUAAGCGUGGUGUUCCCCAAGGUUCGGUCCUUGGACCAUUACUGUUUUCAAUAUAUCUGGAUGAUCUUCCAAAUGUCUUGUCUAAUUGUAAAGUGCAGAUGUAUGCUGACGAUAUGCAAAUGUAUGUGAGUUGUCCCUAUAGCUGUAUAUCUGAACGUAUUGAUGUCAUUAAUAGUGAACUUAAACUAGACAGCAAUUGGGCAAAGAAUAACAGUCUUCAAAUAAAUCCAAACCCAAAACUCAAUUAGUAGGAAUAAAUUCACCGUAGCAUACAACAAAAUAGCAAGAUUUAUUUUUAUACCCGCUAUUCGUAGAGUAAAAGGGUAUAAUAGAUUCGUCGGAAAGUAUGUAACAGGCAGAA